rnacentral:lncRNA from 1 species
UGAAGUUGAAUUGAUUAUUUACCUCUAGAAAUUAGGAACAAAGCAAGUGUGAAUGGAAACGUUUUUAGGUCAAUUAUGGCUAGUUGUGCCCACCAGGGUCAUAGGCGCCAUUGCGAGUCAUAGUGGGGUUGUGGGCAAGGAUUGCCAAGGUAUAACUAGGAGUUGAAUUUGCAGAAGAAGAUUUGCAGAACCCUAAAACGUGGUUUAGCCUUUAACCCACAUUAGACUGUAUCCGUACUUGUGUGAGGUGGAUUGUCAAAGUCUCAUCAUGAGACUCCAGUUGCUGGGCACUUUGGCAUUACGAAAACAGUGGAAUUGGUCGGUGGCCUCAUCUUUGUCAGUCUAUGGAAGAGUUUAUCCACACCUGCGACAUUUGCGCCUGGUCCGAGAUUCCUCAACACCAUCUGUAUGGUCUUCUUCAACCACUUCCAGCUCCAACUAUGCCCUGGUCUUGCAUCUCAAUGGACUUUGUGACCGAUCUUCCACCAGUUCGAGUUGUUGGUACUCCAAAUCUAAUGUUGAACUAUGAAUUUGCCAGAUCUUCAAAGUUACAUCAUUGGCUGAAAGAGGUACGCAUGUGAACAGAGCAAAAUUCAAUUGACCUCCUUACCUUGGUCUAGCUUGGAAGGAACAACAUAUAUGCCCAGC